rnacentral:rRNA from 1 species
AUGAACGCUAGCUACAGGCUUAACACAUGCAAGUCGAGGGGCAGCAUGGUCUUAGCUUGCUAAGGCCGAUGGCGACCGGCGCACGGGUGAGUAACACGUAUCCAACCUGCCGUCUACUCUUGGACAGCCUUCUGAAAGGAAGAUUAAUACAAGAUGGCAUCAUGAGUCCGCAUGUUCACAUGAUUAAAGGUAUUCCGGUAGACGAUGGGGAUGCGUUCCAUUAGAUAGUAGGCGGGGUAACGGCCCACCUAGUCUUCGAUGGAUAGGGGUUCUGAGAGGAAGGUCCCCCACAUUGGAACUGAGACACGGUCCAAACUCCUACGGGAGGCAGCAGUGAGGAAUAUUGGUCAAUGGGCGAGAGCCUGAACCAGCCAAGUAGCGUGAAGGAUGACUGCCCUAUGGGUUGUAAACUUCUUUUAUAAAGGAAUAAAGUCGGGUAUGGAUACCCGUUUGCAUGUACUUUAUGAAUAAGGAUCGGCUAACUCCGUGCCAGCAGCCGCGGUAAUACGGAGGAUCCGAGCGUUAUCCGGAUUUAUUGGGUUUAAAGGGAGCGUAGAUGGAUGUUUAAGUCAGUUGUGAAAGUUUGCGGCUCAACCGUAAAAUUGCAGUUGAUACUGGAUAUCUUGAGUGCAGUUGAGGCAGGCGGAAUUCGUGGUGUAGCGGUGAAAUGCUUAGAUAUCACGAAGAACUCCGAUUGCGAAGGCAGCCUGCUAAGCUGCAACUGACAUUGAGGCUCGAAAGUGUGGGUAUCAAACAGGAUUAGAUACCCUGGUAGUCCACACGGUAAACGAUGAAUACUCGCUGUUUGCGAUAUACUGCAAGCGGCCAAGCGAAAGCGUUAAGUAUUCCACCUGGGGAGUACGCCGGCAACGGUGAAACUCAAAGGAAUUGACGGGGGCCCGCACAAGCGGAGGAACAUGUGGUUUAAUUCGAUGAUACGCGAGGAACCUUACCCGGGCUUAAAUUGCAGAUGAAUUACGGUGAAAGCCGUAAGCCGCAAGGCAUCUGUGAAGGUGCUGCAUGGUUGUCGUCAGCUCGUGCCGUGAGGUGUCGGCUUAAGUGCCAUAACGAGCGCAACCCUUGUUGUCAGUUACUAACAGGUUCCGCUGAGGACUCUGACAAGACUGCCAUCGUAAGAUGUGAGGAAGGUGGGGAUGACGUCAAAUCAGCACGGCCCUUACGUCCGGGGCUACACACGUGUUACAAUGGGGGGUACAGAGGGCCGCUACCACGCGAGUGGAUGCCAAUCCCCAAAACCUCUCUCAGUUCGGACUGGAGUCUGCAACCCGACUCCACGAAGCUGGAUUCGCUAGUGAUCGCGCAUCAGCCACGGCGCGGUGAAUACGUUCCCGGGCCUUGUACACACCGCCCGUCAAGCCAUGGGAGCCGGGGGUACCUGAAGUGCGUAACCGCGAGGAGCGCCCUAGGGUAAAACUGGUGACUGGGGCU